GGUAGGGACCUUGUCCAGAGCAGUCUUGGUCUUGGCCUGUUUGACCAUAACCAUUUUUGAAGGAGGGGUGGCUUCCAAAGCAGAGGGGUUGUGGAAAAAGAAAUGUCUCCCGCGACCCGAAGAUGCUCCCUGAGCAGCAGCUUCUUUCUCUUUUCUCCCCUCCCCUGGUUGUUGUGCCCUCCCUGCAGGUCACCAUAGAUCUUUCAGUUUGCCCCUCUCUCUAAAAAAUAGUGUAAAGUGAAUUUCUCCUAUAAAGACUCUUCCUUAGAAGACUGGAAAGUUAUGGACUGGCCUUCCCGAAAACUAUCUGUGGAACAAAAGGAAGUAGAAACUUCUCCCUGCAAGGAAGGCUUUCUCCCCUAAGGAGAGGUGCCCACCACCCUGCAUCUUCCUAUAGAAAGAAGUGGAGUUGCCUUUACUGGGUCAAGAGGGCACCAUGUUCCUAAUUGAGCAGAGGAAGACACCAGUACUCCCUAAGUCGAGUGGACCUGUGGUUUAGAAUAGACCAGCUAACUGGACAGUAUUUCCCAAAAGCCUCCCCAGAUAAUGUGAGCUAGACAUGCUUUCCAGUUCACGACAAAUGACCUGUGAGCUUUUCAGCUUGUUCCAGACUAGCUCUUCCCACCUUCCUCUCCAGAGUGUUGUCUCUUAUUGUUGCUGCUACUGCUUCUACUGAUGAUGCAUCAACUAGCUGGACUAUGAAGAGAUUGUCAAAGGAGGUACCCUGAUUCAGUUCUGUGGUCCAAGUUUAUGAAAAAACACAAGCCAUUGGUGCUGCUGGCAAUGACAUCUCUGUUGCUUUGCUGAAACAUCUCCCCACAUCCAGCCACACCACUAUCUCUAUUCUUGCCACGGCCUCCCAUUGACAUUUCCUUGGGCUUACAUUACCCUUCUUUCAUGGGUGCCCACAUUGGUCAAUGCUGAGACAAAAGUUUUCUAUGUUCCAUAACCACCCAGUCACUGGCCCCUAUCAGAGGCAGAUGCAUGUUUUUACAUAGCUAGAGAAAGAGUUUCAGCAUUGCUGCUGCCCAAGGUACCACCAUGUCUGUUGCAGAAGGUGAAAGGAUGCCCUUGAUCAUCCGUAACAGGCUGUAAAUCCCCUCCAGCGCUCAUGUUUACCUCAUCUCCCCAGCACCCAACUCUGCCUGAGAUGAGUGCUUUGCUUAAUACUUCAAGUACAACCAAAACAUCUUGACUCAUGACCCCAGUGGUUUCGGUUAUUUUCUAUUAGGCUUUGUGGCAAUCCAAGUGUUCUCACCAAACGUAGACUAAUCUCUGGGUUGAUCUGAAACCUAACUCCUCACUGCAAUGACCUGCCCCUUUCAGAGCAAGUCUGCUUUGCCAAGAUGGAGAAGCUCUCAUGGAUGACCUGCAUUUUCCCCAAAGUAACUCCAAAGACUGCCUGUCCUCUGCAAUGAGCACAACUAUGGGAAUGAACAACUAACUGCUUCAGUGACUACUCCUUGAGAAAUAGGUCUCUUGUGGCCAGAGAUUCGGGCAUGAUGGUGAUCAAGAGGAACAAGAUCCAACUUAGGAUCAGCCUAGAAAGAGUGAAUCACACCCAGAGACUUGGGAGU
rnacentral:lncRNA from 1 species